rnacentral:rRNA from 1 species
UACGGAGGGGGCUAGCGUUGUCCGAAGUUACUGGGCGUAAAGCGCGCGUAGGUGGGUUGGUAAGUCCGCUGUGAAAGCCCGGAGCUCAAACUCCGGAGGGUCGGUGGAUACUGCCAGUCUUGAAGGUGCUAGGGGGAGAUGGAAUUACCGGGUGUAGCGGUGAAAAUGCGUAGAUAUCGGUAGGAACACCAGUGGCGAAGGCGGUCUCCUGGGGCAUUCUUGAC